GAUGAACGCUGGCGGCGUGCCUAAUACAUGCAAGUCGAGCGAACGGACGAGAAUCUUGCGUCUCUGAUGUUAGCGGCGGACGGGUGAGUAACACGUGGAUAACCUACCUAUAAGACUGGGAUAACUUCGGGAAACCGGAUCUAAUACCGGAUAAUAUUUUGAACCGCAGGGGUCAAAAGUAAAAGACGGUCGUGCUGGCACUUCUAGAUGGAUCCGCGCUGCAUUAGCUGGUUGGUACGGUAGCGGCUUACCAAGGCAACGAUGCAUAGCCGACCUGAUGGGGUGUUGGGCGCCUCGGAAACUGAGCGACGGCCCAGGCUCCUAGGGGAGGCCGCGGUGGGUACUGUUCCGAAAUGGGGGAAAGCCUGCCGAAGCAACGCCGCGUGGGUGAUGAAGGGCUUCGGAUGGUAAAACGCUGUUAUGGGGGAAGAACACAUGUGUAAGUAACUGUGCGUAUCUUGCCGUAACCUGAACAGAAGGCCCCGCUUAAUUCCUU
rnacentral:rRNA from 1 species